rnacentral:rRNA from 1 species
CUCUACAGCCAUACCACCCUGAAGGUGACUGAUCUUGGAAGCUAAGCAGAGUUGGGCCUGGUUAGUACUUGGAUGGCAGACAGGUCUCACUCUUGCUCAGGCUGGUCUUGAAC